ensembl:snoRNA Gm22888 small nucleolar RNA SNORD121A
CUGGAAGAGGCGGUGAUGUUUCCAAGCACGUAUCUGAUUUGUAUGUGUGGGCGAUGAUAAUGCUGAGUCUUUCCCGG